rnacentral:tRNA from 1 species
AUUUAAAUAGCUUAAUUUAGAGCAUAAUAUUGAAGAUAUUAGGGUAAUUGUUAUAUUUUUAAAUA